rnacentral:misc_RNA from 1 species
GAUGGAAGAACGUAGCGAAAUGCGAUAAGUAAUGUGAAUUGCAGAAUUCAGUGAAUCAUCGAAUCUUUGAACGCACAUUGCGCCCGCCAGUAUUCUGGCGGGCAUGCCUGUUCGAGCGUCAUUUCAACCAUCAAGCCCCCGGCUUGUGUUGGGGACCUGCGGCUGCCGCAGGCCCUGAAAACCAGUGGCGGGCUCGCUAGUCACUCCGAGCGUAGUAAUACAUCUCGCUCAGGGCGUGCUGCGGGUUCCGGCCGUUAAAAGCCUUAUUUUACCCAAGGUUGACCUCGGAUCAGGUAGGAAGACCCGCUGAACUUAAGCAUAUCAAUAAGCGGAGGA